rnacentral:rRNA from 1 species
GUCGAGCGAACGGACGAGAAGCUUGCUUCUCUGAUGUUAGCGGCGGACGGGUGAGUAACACGUGGAUAACCUACCUAUAAGACUGGGAUAACUUCGGGAAACCGGAGCUAAUACCGGAUAAUAUUUUGAACCGCAUGGUUCAAAGGUAAAAGACGGUCUUGCUGUCACUUAUAGAUGGAUCCGCGCUGCAUUAGCUAGUUGGUAAGGUAACGGCUUACCAAGGCAACGAUGCAUAGCCGACCUGAGAGGGUGAUCGGCCACACUGGAACUGAGACACGGUCCAGACUCCUACGGGAGGCAGCAGUAGGGAAUCUUCCGCAAUGGGCGAAAGCCUGACGGAGCAACGCCGCGUGAGUGAUGAAGGUCUUCGGAUCGUAAAACUCUGUUAUUAGGGAAGAACAUAUGUGUAAGUAACUGUGCACAUCUUGACGGUACCUAAUCAGAAAGCCACGGCUAACUACGUGCCAGCAGCCGCGGUAAUACGUAGGUGGCAAGCGUUAUCCGGAAUUAUUGGGCGUAAAGCGCGCGUAGGCGGUUUUUUAAGUCUGAUGUGAAAGCCCACGGCUCAACCGUGGAGGGUCAUUGGAAACUGGAAAACUUGAGUGCAGAAGAGGAAAGUGGAAUUCCAUGUGUAGCGGUGAAAUGCGCAGAGAUAUGGAGGAACACCAGUGGCGAAGGCGACUUUCUGGUCUGUAACUGACGCUGAUGUGCGAAAGCGUGGGGAUCAAAC